UCACUGCGGGCACGCUGGGGUUUGUUCUCAGCCCGCUGUGCUAACGUAACCCACGCUACCGCUCAUCAGAACAGCUGCCCCUCAAAUCAGGAGGCAUACCUGUGGAUGUGGACACCCUACACAUCUCAACACGCAACGUUCUGCACACCAAGGCACACCACCACCUGACGUGGGGGAAAGGGAGCAGAGGCCCGUUAAUGUUACACGAGAGCAGCUGGAGCUGCUCUGCUCAGCAACCACGCGCAGGUGAUGGGAGUCGGCCAGAGCCUGGCUCCCCUCCCCUCCAGAGGGGAUAAAAAGCCUUCCAACUCCAGGGGAUGUUUCACAACAUGGCAGCAGGGGUGGAGGAACUUUUAAGGCAAGGAAUGUUUCUGCAGAGCUGCAGGCUACUGCUAGUUGGUUUGCAAGGAGGCAAAGAUGGAGGCUGCCCUUUUGGUGAGACUGGAAGGGGACCAGCGCUUCGCCAGGCAGGACUCAUGCAGCGUGAACCCGAAGCAGAUGAGGCACGAACAGAUGGUCAGGCUGAAUUUCAGCAGGAAGCAGAGCAGGAAGUAGUGCUGAGUCUGUGGAGAAGGGAGAGGCAGGAGAGUGACACGGGCAUGUCACCGGCCCAACCUCCCCGGUGUGAACCAUCAGAGGCUGCAGUACAGAUCUGGGAUGUUGCGCUGUGGACCUGUCCUGCAAGCGUACUGGUACUAAGGGAUUCCCUUCGUCACUAUGACUUUGUGAUUUGGUUAGGAUGGCUCGUGCCACGGAUCAGAGUUUACCAAGGGAGUUGGGAAGCCAUGUUAGCACGGCCUCAGCUACGCAUCAACGUGGGGACAAAGUAGAAAAGAAGAAAGGAUGAACAAAUCUUAUCAGAUGGGCUACCUACCUUCUUAGGAAUGGAAGUCAA